rnacentral:rRNA from 1 species
UACGUAGGUGGCAAGCGUUGUCCGGAUUUACUGGGCGUAAAGAGCGCGCAGGCGGUCGAAUAAGUCGAAUGUGAAAGCCCCCGGCUCAACUGGGGAGGGUCAUUCGAUACUGAUCGACUCGAAGGCAGGAGAGGGAAGUGGAAUUCCCGGUGUAGUGGUGAAAUGCGUAGAUAUCGGGAGGAACACCAGUGGCGAAGGCGACUUCCUGGCCUGUUCUUGACGCUGAGGCGCGAAAGCUAGGGGAGCAAACGGG